AACGAACGCUGGCGGCAUGCCUAACACAUGCAAGUCGAACGAGAUCUUCGGGUCUAGUGGCGCACGGGUGCGUAACGCGUGGGAAUCUGCCCUUUGGUUCGGAAUAACAGUUGGAAACGACUGCUAAUACCGGAUGAUGACGAAAGUCCAAAGAUUUAUCGCCAGAGGAUGAGCCCGCGUAGGAUUAGCUAGUUGGUGUGGUAAAGGCGCACCAAGGCGACGAUCCUUAGCUGGUCUGAGAGGAUGAUCAGCCACACUGGGACUGAGACACGGCCCAGACUCCUACGGGAGGCAGCAGUGGGGAAUAUUGGACAAUGGGCGAAAGCCUGAUCCAGCAGUGCCGCGUGAGUGAUGGAGGCCUUAGGGUUGUAAAGCCCUUUUACCCGGGAUGAUAAUGACAGUACCGGGAGAAUAAGCUCCGGCUAACUCCGUGCCAGCAGCCGCGGUAA
rnacentral:rRNA from 1 species